UACGUAGGGGGCUAGCGUUGUCCGGAAUCAUUGGGCGUAAAGAGCGUGUAGGCGGCCCGGUAAGUCCGCUGUAAAAGUCAAAGGCUCAACCUUUGAAUGUCAGUGGAUACUGCCGGGCUAGAGUCCGGAAGAGGCGAGUGGAACUCCUGGUGUAGCGGUGGAAUGCGUAGAUAUCUGGAGGAACACCGGUGGCGAAGGCGGCAUUCUGGACCGACAUUGACGCUGAGGAGCGAAAGCCAGGGGAGCAAACGGG
rnacentral:rRNA from 1 species